GCACCUUAAGCUGUUUGCAAUCCACCAAAGAAAUCCCAGAGAAGAAGAAGAGAAGAACCCCCUUCCCUAACAGGUGUCCUGCAACAAACAAAGGGCUGCAGCAGAGACACCUGCAAUAGAGUGACAGCUUGCAAAAGGAUGACAGGGAGAUCUACUGUUUUCAAACAUGAACUUGGUUUCCUGAGUGCACACAUCAGACACAUCUAGUGUUUGAAACAGACUUCUGCUUUUAUCUCAUGCAGACCUCGUUCACCUCAG